rnacentral:pre_miRNA from 1 species
AAAUGAAAAAAGUAAUAUAUGAAGAGGAUUCAUUCAAAUAUUAAUGAAUAUGAAUUAAUAUUUGAAUGAAUCUUAAUUCAUAUUCAUUACUUAAUUGGUC